CACUACACUGCAUGAGGGAUAGUAGUGGAAAUCCUUUUGUGCCGGGGUUCGGCACAAAAGAUUGCAACGGAUAGCCCGACCCGCU
rnacentral:sRNA from 1 species